rnacentral:rRNA from 1 species
GAAGUGGUGAAGUCAGACCGGAAGGACUGGUGGAGCGCUUUGAAGUGAGAAUGCCGGUAUGAGUAGCGAAAGACAAGUGAGAAUCUUGUCCAUCGAAAGCCUAAGGUUUCCUGAGGAAGGCUCGUCCGCUCAGGGUUAGUCGGGACCUAAGCCGAGGCCGAAAGGCGUAGGCGAUGGCCAACAGGUUGAAAUUCCUGUACCACCUCCUUUCCGUUUGAACGACGGGGGGACGCAGGAAGGUAGGGAGAGCGCGCGAUUGGAAAUGCGCGUCUAAGCAGUUAGGCUGAUUGUGAGGCAAAUCCCGCAAUCGUGAAGGCUGAGCUGUGACGGCGAGGGAAAUUACAGUACCGAAGUCCCUGAUCCUACACUGCCAAGAAAAGCCUCUAGUGAGGAAAGAGGUGCCCGUACCGCAAACCGACACAGGUAGGCGAGGAGAGAAUCCUAAGAUGAUCGGGAGAACUCUCGUUAAGGAACUCGGCAAAAUGACCCCGUAACUUCGGGAGAAGGGGUGCUCUGAUAGGGUUAACGCCCGAGAGAGCCGCAGUGAAUAGAUCCAAGCGACUGUUUAGCAAAAACACAGGUCUCUGCGAAGCCGCAAGGCGAAGUAUAGGGGCUGACACCUGCCCGGUGCUGGAAGGUUAAGAGGAGGGGUUAUCCCUUACGGGAGAAGCUCUGAAUUGAAGCCCCAGUAAACGGCGGCCGUAACUAUAACGGUCCUAAGGUAGCGAAAUUCCUUGUCGGGUAAGUUCCGACCCGCACGAAAGGUGUAACGACUUGGAUACUGUCUCAACGAGAGACCCGGUGAAAUUAUAGUACCUGUGAAGAUGCAGGUUACCCGCGACAGGACGGAAAGACCCCAUGGAGCUUUACUGCAGCUUGAUAUUGGAUUUUGGUACAGUUUGUACAGGAUAGGUAGGAGCCUGAGAAGUCGGAGCGCCAGCUUCGAUGGAGGCGUCGGUGGGAUACUACCCUGACUGUAUUGAAAUUCUAACCUGGAACCGUGAUCCGGUUCGGAGACAGUGUCAGGUGGGCAGUUUGACUGGGGCGGUCGCCUCCUAAAUUGUAACGGAGGCGCCCAAAGGUUCCCUCAGAAUGGUUGGAAAUCAUUCGCAGAGUGUAAAGGCACAAGGGAGCUUGACUGCGAGACCUACAAGUCGAGCAGGGACGAAAGUCGGGCUUAGUGAUCCGGUGGUUCCGCAUGGAAGGGCCAUCGCUCAACGGAUAAAAGCUACCCUGGGGAUAACAGGCUUAUCUCCCCCAAGAGUCCACAUCGACGGGGAGGUUUGGCACCUCGAUGUCGGCUCAUCGCAUCCUGGGGCUGAAGUAGGUCCCAAGGGUUGGGCUGUUCGCCCAUUAAAGCGGUACGCGAGCUGGGUUCAGAACGUCGUGAGACAGUUCGGUCCCUAUCCGUCGCGGGCGCAGGAAAUUUGAGAGGAGCUGUCCUUAGUACGAGAGGACCGGGAUGGACACACCGCUGGUGUACCAGUUGUUCCGCCAGGGGCAUAGCUGGGUAGCUACGUGUGGACGGGAUAAGUGCUGAAAGCAUCUAAGCAUGAAGCCCCCCUCAAGAUGAGAUUUCCCAUCACGUCAAGUGAGUAAGACCCCUUAGAGAUGAUGAGGUUGAUAGGUCUGGUGUGGAAGCGUGGUGACACGUGGAGCUGACAGAUACUAAUCGGUCGAGGGCUUAUCCU